AACCGGAUUAGAUACCCUGGUAGUCCACGCUGUAAACGAUGUCGAUUUGGAGGUUGUGCCCUUGAGGCGUGGCUUCCGGAGCUAACGCGUUAAAUCGACCGCCUGGGGAGUACGGCCGCAAGGUUAAAACUCAAAUGAAUUGACGGGGGCCCGCACAAGCGGUGGAGCAUGUGGUUUAAUUCGAUGCAACGCGAAGAACCUUACCUACUCUUGACAUCCGGAGAACUUUCCAGAGAUGGAUUGGUGCCUUCGGGAACUCUGAGACAGGUGCUGCAUGGCUGUCGUCAGCUCGUGUUGUGAAAUGUUGGGUUAAGUCCCGCAACGAGCGCAACCCUUAUCCUUUGUUGCCAGCGGUUCGGCCGGGAACUCAAAGGAGACUGCCAGUGAUAAACUGGAGGAAGGUGGGGAUGACGUCAAGUCAUCAUGGCCCUUACGAGUAGGGCUACACACGUGCUACAAUGGCGUAUACAAAGAGAAGCGACCUCGCGAGAGCAAGCGGACCUCAUAAAGUACGUCGUAGUCCGGAUUGGAGUCUGCAACUCGACUCCAU
rnacentral:rRNA from 1 species